CCCUUAGAUGUUCUGGGCAGCACGCGCGCUACAAUGGUCUUCGCAAACGGAUGCAUUCUCGAAGGAGAAUGCCAAUCUUGGAAUCUAUGCCUUGGUCGGGACAGUUGCUCGCAAUUUUUCGACUCGAACCAGGAAUUCCUUGUAAUCGUGAUUCAUCACAUCACGAUGAAUACGUCCCUGCCCUUUGUACACACCGCCCGUCGCUCCUACCGAUCGAAGAGUUAGGUGAAUUGUUUUGAUCGAUAAGAUUUGACUAUGGUCAACUCUCGUUGUGAAAUUCUGUGAAUCUGACUGUUUAGAGGAAGGAAAAGUCGUAACA
rnacentral:rRNA from 1 species